UCAUUUAUAAUGAUAAAUUUUUUACAGAAUGAGAAGAGAAAGGAUAAAAUGUCAGUAGAAACCUAGAUACAGAAGUAGGUGCAAUUUAUAAGUACACCAGGUACUAGUUUCCAAUACAACUAUUGUUGUAGAAGUGAGGUAUAAUCAGGCCAAUAGAAACAAUGAUUUGGUAAACCAUAGCCUAACCUAGUACUUGGCAAGCAAUCAUUAUAACAUUAUUAAAUUCCACUUCCAUGUCACACAGCCAAAGCUAGGCAAACAGGAUAGGUUUAUAGUGGGUCAAUAAAACAAGGGAAAACUACGACCAAGUUAAUAUUUGAGCGUGUUGUUUCGUUUCAUCUCCACUUCCCUCUUUCAUCACAGCCAAAAUUGUAGUCCCGGGAUUUAGCUAGACAUGGAACACUGAAAAAUCCAUAUGAACCUGCACGUAGUUUUAUUAGAAAAUUCAAUCACAGGACACAAGAUCAUCUUCAUGCAGUUAGUUAGAUGUGACAGGCCAACUAACCAAAUAAUUGUAUUCGGAUAGCAGUAUAACAUCAUGAUUGUGUUCUUCCAUCAACGGAUACUGUACAGAGUUAUUCUUUAUCUGAUUUCACUGUUAACAGAAGAUCUUCAAGCAUAUUUGUUUAGGGAAAAUACAUGGAUAGAGGCAUUGCAAAAAUAAUAAUGCCGAAAAGAAGCUGCAGAGAGAAUGAAACUGAAGAUCAAUAUUGAAUCGCAACCUAACAAAAAGACGAGAAGGAAUCACUUGAAAGUUAAAAGGUAUUUGAAAAUCACUUGAAAUCAGAAUAACUUCUCAUGAGAAUAAUUAAACUAAGCAUUCCCCAACAUUUAAGGCCAAUAAACUUAACUAGUAAAAAACAGCAAAGCAUCUUUCCAUAUUCUAUAAAGCAUGACAUAACUAUUAUCCGGUUUACCAUAAUUCCUCUAAAUAGGUCCUCUUAUGUGUAAAGGGGGAUCUCUCUUUUUUUUUUUUUUUUUUUUUUUUAAUUUUCAGUGUAAUGGUCUUAUUCCAGUUUGAAAAGGAGAAAGCUCCUUUGGGGGCAUACACGUAAACCUUGGUUCUAGGGUGAUUCUUGACUUUCUUCAGAAAAAAGAACCUAACAGAAACAUUUCCGAAAAGAUUAAGUGAAGUGUCCAGACUAAUGUAAGAGAAAAAGGAUAUACAAGAGGACUAAAAGGGAUAGCUACGUUUAUGAUAUCAUCCGCAUAUUUCAUAAAUCACAGAACCAGAAAAUACGUUACCACCAGGAUCCAAUUUUGAAAAGUCUUAAAGAUCACCCAAAAGUAAUCUUGUCACACCGACUAUUUUACCAAACCUGGAUUGAGGGAUUAAUUUAUUGCAUAUUGUUUUAGAUAAAUAAAAUAAUCGACCAUGACAAUUAAUAAAUGGAAGAAUGAAAAUCAUAGAUGGGAAAAAAUAC
rnacentral:lncRNA from 1 species